GAUGAACGCUGGCGGCGUGCCUAAUACAUGCCAGUCGAGCGAACAGAUGAGGAGCUUGCUCCUCUGACGUUAGCGGCGGACGGGUGAGUAACACGUGGAUAACCUACCUAUAAGACUGGGAUAACUUCGGGAAACCGGAGCUAAUACCGGAUAAUAUAUUGAACCGCAUGGUUCAAUAGUGAAAGACGGUUUUGCUGCCACUUAUAGAUGGAUCCGCGCCGCAUUAGCUAGUUGGUAAGGUAACGGCUUACCAAGGCAACGAUGCGUAGCCGACCUGAGAGGGUGAUCGGCCACACUGGAACUGAGACACGGUCCAGACUCCUACGGGAGGCAGCAGUAGGGAAUCUUCCGCAAUGGGCGAAAGCCUGACGGAGCAACGCCGCGUGAGUGAUGAAGGUCUUCGGAUCGUAAAACUCUGUUAUUGGGGAAGAACAAAUGUGUAAGUAACUAUGCACGUCUUGACGGUACCUAAUCAGAAAGCCACGGCUAACUACGUG
rnacentral:rRNA from 1 species